rnacentral:rRNA from 1 species
CGAGCCGUGGGAUUUUGCACACUGGCCGAAAGCCUGAACCAGCAAUGCCGCGUGAGUGAUGAAGGCCUUAGGGUUGUAAAGCUCUUUUACCCGGGAUGAUAAUGACGGUACCUGGAGAAUAAGCCCCGGCUAACUCCGUGCCAGCAGCCGCGGUAAUACGGAGGGUGCUAGCGUUGUCCGGAAUUACUGGGCGUAAAGCGUGCGUAGGCGGCUUUGUAAGUCAGGGGUGAAAGCCCGGGGCUCAACCCCGGAAUUGCCUUUGAGACUGCAUGGCUAGAAUCAUGGAGAGGUGAGUGGAAUUCCGAGUGUAGCGGUGAAAUUCGUAGAUAUUCGGAAGAACACCAGUGGCGAAGGCGACUCACUGGACAUGUAUUGACGCUGAGGUGCGAAAGCGUGAG